GGGGGUGUAGCUCAGCUGGGAGAGCGCGUGCUUUGCAAGCAUGAGGUCAUCGGUUCGAUCCCGAUCAUCUCCACC
rnacentral:tRNA from 1 species